rnacentral:lncRNA from 1 species
GUGUCUCUUUCCCCACAGAUGUAACCAGGUUCCUGUGGAGGACACGGCUUUGCUAAGCCUGCCUGGCUUCUGUGUCCUCCUCUGGGCCUGAGUGCAGAGGGUGAGAGUCCACAUCCCCAGAACCAUGGGGACUGAACAGGAUUACUACAGAGCAGCAAAGAAGUGGGGCACCAAAGGAAAGAGUACACAACACCUUGUGAACACAGAAUUCUGGUGGACCCAGAAUAUGUGGGAGUUCAGUGAGACUUAAAGAGGAAAAGACCUACGUGUGAACUAAUGCAAGCAGCUAAUGCCAAGCCUAACAUGCUCCAUAUGUGUUAGAAGUUUUAAGGUGAAGAAAAGAACUGGCCUUUUUCUUCCUUUAGCCCUGUGAGACAGACAUUCUGCACUUAAAUUAUCAGCCACAGGGCAUCCGUGGCUGGGAAUCCAAACAGAUGCUAAUGAAUUUGGAACAACAUUUAAGUGGCUGAACAAAAAUGGAUCCUAAACACCCCCAAAUCAAGUGCAACAAACAAGAAAUAGGCUGACACAUUUCUAUCAGGAAGGCAACCAGAAUGUCAAACUCUUGAAUGAUACUGGGUGAUCUCAGCUCUGUUUUAUCAUCUCAGUAAAUAAAUCUAGAGAUGAUAAACAACCAUAAAUACCUGCAACAAAUGCUCCAUAAAAACCAAAUCUUAAAUAUAUUCCACACAUUCCUCUCCAAUCACCAUCCUCCACCCCGCCCCCAUCAAAAAAUGACUAACCUUUUGCC